rnacentral:rRNA from 1 species
CCUACGGGAGGCAGCAGUGGGGAAUAUUGCACAAUGGGCGCAAGCCUGAUGCAGCGACGCCGCGUGAGGGAUGGAGGCCUUCGGGUUGUAAACCUCUUUUAUCGGGGAGCAAGCGAGAGUGAGUUUACCCGUUGAAUAAGCACCGGCUAACUACGUGCCAGCAGCCGCGGUAAUACGUAGGGUGCAAGCGUUAUCCGGAAUUAUUGGGCGUAAAGGGCUCGUAGGCGGUUCGUCGCGUCCGGUGUGAAAGUCCAUCGCUUAACGGUGGAUCCGCGCCGGGUACGGGCGGGCUUGAGUGCGGUAGGGGAGACUGGAAUUCCCGGUGUAACGGUGGAAUGUGUAGAUAUCGGGAAGAACACCAAUGGCGAAGGCAGGUCUCUGGGCCGUUACUGACGCUGAGGAGCGAAAGCGUGGGGAGCGAACAGGAUUAGAUACCCUGGUAGUCCACGCCGUAAACGGUGGAUGCUGGAUGUGGGGCCCGUUCCACGGGUUCCGUGUCGGAGCUAACGCGUUAAGCAUCCCGCCUGGGGAGUACGGCCGCAAGGCUAAAACUCAAAGAAAUUGACGGGGGCCCGCACAAGCGGCGGAGCAUGCGGAUUAAUUCGAUGCAACGCGAAGAACCUUACCUGGGCUUGACAUGUUCCCGACGGUCGUAGAGAUGCGGCUUCCCUUCGGGGCGGGUUCACAGGUGGUGCAUGGUCGUCGUCAGCUCGUGUCGUGAGAUGUUGGGUUAAGUCCCGCAACGAGCGCAACCCU